GUCUCUAUAGAAGACAGGAAGUGAUGUCAGGAACACACAGGAAGUUCCUUGUGGCACGAAGCAAAAAGGGGUCAUUGUUGGAACUUGUCGGCAGAUGAGCAGAUGAUGAUACACACAUAUUUAGUGUGGAAACAUAGAUUUACCCCUUCAGGGUCAGAACAUUUCUACACUUACUGGGCCGGAAGAUUCCCUUCAUUUUUUACUUAAACUCUAAUUAUAUGGUCCUCGAAACAAACAGCACUGACAAUAAAUAGAAAAUCUAAAUCUAAUCAAAACUAGUUCAGAAACCCAACAGAGAAAAGGGAAUUUCUGAUCUUGUGAGCCAAGAGGUUCCCUGGACCUCGAAAAUGUAACAAACUCUAAAAAGAUCAAACUCAAUUUUCACAUGGGGAAAGUAGUUCUUAAAUGUACAGCAACCCUCCCCCCAACCACAAUCUUUUAAUGUGUGACCAAUACCAUGCAAAUAAUUCUUACUUUCAUUUCCCAAAGUUAUCCGUAUACAAGGAGACCUGUAGAGAUCAAACGACAAUACGAAGGGGAAUGGAGGAGAACCAGAGUCACAUGAAUGAAAAGAUCCUAAAACUCACCCUGGAGAUCAUUUAUCUGCUGACCGGAGAGAGAUUUCCUCUUGUGAAGUCAGGUGAUCACAUG